GGUAGUGUGGCCGAUGGGUCUAAGGCACUGGCUUUAGGCUCCAGUCUCUUCGGGUGUGUGGGUUUGAAUCCCACUGCUGCCA
rnacentral:tRNA from 1 species